GAUGAACGCUGGCGGCGUGCCUAACACAUGCAAGUCGAGCGAACAGACGAGGAGCUUGCUCCUUGCUCGUUAGCGGCGGACGGGCGAGUAACACGAGGAAAACCCACCUACAAGACUGGGACAACUUCGAGAAACCGGCGCUAAUACCGGAUAAUAUAUUGAUCCGCAUGGUUCAAUAGUGAAAGACGGUGUUCCUGUCACUUAUAGAUGGAUCCGCGCCGCUUUAGCUAGUUGGUAAGGUAACGGCUUACCAAGGCAACGAUGCGUAGCCGACCUGAGAGGGUGAUCGGCCCCACGGGAACUGGGCCUCGGUCCGGACUCCUGCGGGAGGCAGCAGUCGGGAAUCUUGCGCAGUGGGCGAAAGCCUGACGGUACACCGCGGCGUGAGUGAUGAAGGUCUUCGGAUCGUAAAACUCUCUUAUUAGGGAAGAACCAAUGUGUACGUAACUAUGCACGUCUUGACGGUACCUGGUCAAAAAGCCACGGCUAACUACGUG
rnacentral:rRNA from 1 species